GCCGGGGUGGCGGAAUUGGUAGACGCACUGGAUUCAAAAUCCAGCGGGUUCACGCUCGUGGGGGUUCAAAUCCCCCCCCCGGUACCA
rnacentral:tRNA from 1 species